GCCAGCCUGUCCCUCUGAAAGGUGUUCUGUGGAGCUGGUAAUCUCACUAGCACCAUUUUGAAAGGCUAGCCUAAACUAUUUUGCUUGAUGUUAGAGCUUAAACCAAGGCAUUGGUGGUCAUAUAUUUGCAAAGUAAUUGGAUUUUUAUUUCAGCUAAAUUUUUGUCACUUGUAUACCUUGUGGUAUCCAAGAUUGGUAUAAAGUAUAAAACAUGAACUGAACAGAUUUCAAAAGACUUGCCUAAUCCUGUGGAGUUGUCCCAUUGGAGUCUAAAGAUUCCCACCAAAGGGCCCAGCCUCAAAUGCAUCCCCCCUUCCAUGUGCUGGUAGUGGCAAUAUGGGUGUGGCACACUCUGGCACUAGUGCUUGUUACUUUGUAAACUUUGGAGUCAUGGUAAUCAGGGAAGGUGGUAUGCAAGGAAUGUUCUACACAACCACAGGGUAGUCACCUGAGGUAUCUAAUUGCAUGUACUUCACAUAGAUAGCUUUGCUAUUUGAGAAGGGACUACUAAUGAGCUGUCUGUUUUCCUCCUUCCCAUCCCCUUCCCUGCCACUGAUUCAGUGAGUGGAGACUGGAUACAGCCAAAGGAGUAGUUCUACGGUGACUUGAUGUUCUGCUGUGAUAUGCAAAUUUCUGAGGGUAAAAUAAACUAAAAAAGCUUCUGCGA
rnacentral:lncRNA from 1 species